AGAAGCCCAAGUUCUGAUGAAGUGUCCCACAGACCUGUGACUACCACCACAGCCAGCAGGUUCAGCCAGCACCUGUGCAGACCCUGGGCCUCCACAUUGUCAAGAAAUUACAUUUUCCUGUGAAACUUUGCACGAUCCAAACAGUGCUACAGGUGAGAGUCCCCAAAGGGAAUCAUUAGCGUGAAGGAAAGGAACCCUGUGGAUAUAUCCAACACACUGGACAUAGCCCAGCUUCCAAAUGCAUCUCUCUGUUAGCUUUGGAACCUGCUGCUGGGAUUUCCUACUGGAUCCCUUGAGCCAGAAAGAAGGGGGCAACCCUUCUGAUCAUCCUCCUUGAACCGGCCACACCUCGGCUGAGACAUCGUGGUGACAGCUCAUCUAGCAACACCAUUAC